rnacentral:rRNA from 1 species
UACAGAGGUCUCAAGCGUUGUUCGGAUUCAUUGGGCGUAAAGGGUGCGUAGGCGGCGCGGUAAGUCGGGUGUGAAAUCUCGGAGCUUAACUCCGAAACUGCAUUCGAUACUGCCGUGCUUGAGGACUGGAGAGGAGACUGGAAUUUACGGUGUAGCGGUGAAAUGCGUAGAUAUCGUAAGGAAGACCAGUGGCGAAGGCGGGUCUCUGGACAGUUCCUGACGUGAGGAGCGAAAGCGUGGGGGAGCGAACAGGG